AUUGAACGCUAGCGGGAUGCUUUACACAUGCAAGUCGAACGGCAGCGCGGACUUCGGUCUGGCGGCGAGUGGCGAACGGGUGAGUAAUGUAUCGGAACGUGCCCAGUAGCGGGGGAUAACUACGCGAAAGCGUAGCUAAUACCGCAUACGCCCUACGGGGGAAAGCAGGGGAUCGUAAGACCUUGCACUAUUGGAGCGGCCGAUAUCGGAUUAGCAAGUUGGUGAGGUAACGGCUCACCAAGGCGACGAUCCGUAGCUGGUUUGAGAGGACGACCAGCCACACUGGGACUGAGACACGGCCCAGACUCCUACGGGAGGCAGCAGUGGGGAAUUUUGGACAAAGGGGGCAACCCUGAUCCAGCCAUCCCGCGUGUGCGAUGAAGGCCUUCGGGUUGUAAAGCACUUUUGGCAGGAAAGAAACGUCGCGGGCUAAUACCCCGUGGAACUGACGGUACCUGCAGAAUAAGCACCGGCUAACUACGUG
rnacentral:rRNA from 1 species